AUUCCAUAAUGUGGGCAUUUCCUUUGCAACUCUUUAAAUCGUUCUCAUGCAUCAUAAAAAGAUUCUCAAUCCAGUUGAUGGAAAUUAUUAAUCUCUCCUCUCAUUCU